GCCCGGGUGGUGGAAUUGGUAGACACGCAGGACUUAAAAUCCUGUGACCAUUGCGGUCGUGCGGGUUCAAGUCCCGCCCCGGGCA
rnacentral:tRNA from 1 species